CAAUAGUUUCAUUCUCUGACACCAUGGCAAUCAGUGCUGCAGACAGAUCACUUCUUGGAUCAGGUUAUCAGGUCAACAGAAAGAAAAAGUCAAGAGGAUUUGUCAAGGACAUCUAAAAGUGGAAAUAUUUGGGAAUUGUGAAAAAGAGGACAUGACGUAGAUAUUUGGAAUAUACUCUACAUAGCCAACACUUCCACCCAGCUUUUCAACAACAACAACAACAACAACAAAAGGCUCCCUGCUCUCUCUGGUAUAAAUCAGCCCCAGUCACUCAACAGUCUGAAAGACACUGAGGCAAGGAUGGGUGAAAGACAAAGGUGGGCUCCUUCCCAGCUGUUCUGUGUGCCUUGGAUACCUCAUUUCAUGACCCAUUUCAAGGGCAGUUUAUAAAUGUUUAUGUGUCCUCAGCAGCUUUUGCACAUAAGGGUUUUUAGCAGUAAUUUGUAACAUUUAGUAAAUAUGUCAUAUCUCCACACAUGAUCCAACCAGAGCUUAGACAAGCCGAUGAGUAAUCAUUGUUGUCUGAAAACAUUUUUUCCUUCCUCUGUGAUGCAUAAAGAAUUCAUAAGAUCAUAGAGAAAAAGUUGAGUUACAGUCCUGAGAUUUAUGGUGAGUUGUUCAAUUUCACAGUGAAGCAACGUUAUCCCAUAAACACUUCACUUCAUCAACUGCUUGGUUGAAUUAUUGUUGC
rnacentral:lncRNA from 1 species